AUUGAACGCUGGCGGCAGGCCUAACACAUGCAAGUCGAACGAGUGGCGGACGGGUGAGUAAUGUCUGGGAAACUGCCCGAUGGAGGGGGAUAACUACUGGAAACGGUAGCUACUACCGCAUACCCUCGGAUGUGCCCAGAUUGGAUUAGCUAGUAGGUGGGGUAAAGGCUCACCUAGGCGACGAUCCCUAGCUGGUCUUAGAGGAUGACCAGCCACACUGGAACUGAGACACGGCCCAGACUCCUACGGGAGGCAGCAGUGGGGAAUAUUGGACAAUGGGCGCAAGCCGGAUGCAGCCAUGCCGCGUGUAUGAAGAAGGCCUUCGGGUUGUAAAGUACUUUCAGCGGGGAGGCGUUACCCGCAGAGAAAGCACCGGCUAACUCCGUGCCAGCAGCCGCGGUAAUAC
rnacentral:rRNA from 1 species